CGUGGUUCCCAUUGGCCUUCAGUUUGUGACAGGCACGAUGAUUGCGGAGCUAGAGUUCAGGCAGCCGGAGCGAGAAGGGUGCGUGGCUUUUGACACAGCAGAGUUCUUUGGACUACUCACCAACUGACAGUCCCAAAAGGGCUGGAGAUGCCACCCCGGCAAAGUUCGCCCUAGUCAUUUGCUUCACGUGAGCUCUUUCAGUCUUGUUUACCCUUAACUCGGUCACAAGCCUAGUCUGGCGCUUUUGGCACCGCACCAUCAUUCUUCCCGCUACACUCAAUUAAUGUCCAGGGAGCGGUCUCUGAGCUUGUUUGGUGUUUGCCUAGGAAGUAAUGCCGAUGAGGCAGUUUUGGGGAUGUGUAUCUUUAGGCAUGACAUCUCAGAUGCUGUUUGGGUAUGUUUGAUCACUCUGGGCCAUUUGGGGUCCAGACUGUGUCUGAAUGGGAUAUUUUAUCUGAGUGGAUUUUGUGUGCCACAGUAUUAGGUUUCUUAGGUUUUGUGUGCCUGUGUGUCUGGAUAUGCCUUCUGUUCUUCUUUUCUCUUGUUUGUUUUCAGAGUCUCGCUCUGUCGCCCAGGCUGGAGUGCAGUGGCUGAUCAUGGCUCACUGCAGCCUCAUACUCCUGGGCUCAAGCGAUCCUCCCGCCUCAGCCUCCCGAGUAGCUGGGACUAUAGGUGCUCACCACCAUGCCCAGCUAAGAUUUUUAUUUUUUAUUUUGUAGAUACAGGGUCUCGCUAUGUUGAUCAGACUGGUUUUCAACUCCUGGCCUCAAGUGAUCCUCCCACCUCCGUCUCCCAAAGUACUGGGAUUACAGACAUGAGCCACCACGCCUGGCCUGGGUGUGCAUCUUCUGAGCUUUUUGGACAUUUGUGUCCCUGGGUGUGAGAUCUCUAUGUAGGUGUCUGCACCCCAGGAUGUAAAGUCUCUGAGCUGUUUGCAAUUUUGGGUCCCAAGUUGUGAUGUUUCCCAGCUGGUGUUGGUGAGGACAAUUUUGCUUAAGAUGUAAAGUAUACGAGCUGUUUAGGGGAGGGAGAGGUCUCCGCCCAGAAUUAGGUUAUCUGAUUUGUUUGGGGACUUUAUCGUAAGAUUAUGUGAUGUUUCUGAGCUAUUUGAACUUCUGUUUCUGUUUUAUAUUAGGUUAGGAAGUGUCUGAGUGGUUUUUGGGGGGGGGGCUCUCUCUAGGGUGUGAGAUAUCUGAAUGGUUUUAAUUUGUUUCCCAGGAGUGAGAAAUUUGGUCUGUUGUGCAUGGGGGUCUUUGUCACAGCAUGUGUGGUCUCUGUUCUGUUUGGGGGUCUGUGUCAAGUUGUGGGGUCUCUGUGCAGGGAUUUUGGAGUCUGUUUCAGGUUGUGAGAUUAGUGAGCUGUUUUUGGUGUCUUUGAGUAUCUGAGCUGUUUGGGAGUCUGUGUCUCAGGAGUGAAAUUUCUUACCUUUUUGGCUGUGAGGUCUCUGUCCAGGAACUGUGGGUUUUGGAGGCUGGCAGACAUGAUUUCAAAGCCUGGAGCCCCCAAGUCCUGAUUGUGUGACAUUGGGCGAGUCGCUUGUCUCCUCGAAUCUCAGUAUGUAUCAUAAUCAAUAAAAUGGGGCCAAUAUCCAUCUUGGAGGGCAUCUGUGCAUCUUAGUGAUGUGUGUAAAGGGCCCCACUCCAGCCAUCCUUCAACAAGAAUUUCCUGAGCAUCUGCUGUAUGUCUGAGUACUGUUCUAGGUUCUGUGGAUACAACAGAGACCAAAAUCAACAACAUCCCUGAUUUCAUAGAGUUGGUCAAUAAAUAUGUAGCACAUCACAGGGUAGUAAGUGCUACCUAGAAAGUCAAGACAGUGGCUGGGCACAGUGGCUCAUGCCUGUAAUCCCAGCACUUUGGUAGGCCGAGGCGGGCAGAUCACCUGGGGUUGGGAGUUCGAGACCAGCCUGGCCAACAUGAUGAAACCCCGUCUCUACUAAAAAUACAAAAAUUAGCCAGACAUGGUGGCAGGCACCUGUAAUCCCAGCUACUUGGGAGGGUGAGGCAUGAGAAUUGCUUGAACCUGGGAGGCGGAGGUUGCAGUGAUCCGAAAUCGCGCCACUGUACUCCAGCCUGGGUGACAGAGUGCGAUUCUGUCUCAAAAAAAAAAAAAAAAAAAAAAAAAAAGAAAGAAAGAAAAAAAGAAAAAAAGAAAGUUAAGACAGGGUCAGGGAAAUGGGUAAGUGGGCAGGAUAUUAUUUUAUUCAGGGUGUGCGGGGAAGGCAUCCCUGCAUAGGUGAUGACUGAGCAGAGACCUAGAAGCAGUGAGAAGCAGGCCUUGCGAUUACCUGAGGGAAGAGCAUUCCGGGCAGAAGGAACAGCAAGUGCAACUGCCCUGGAGCAGGGGAAGCACCUGGUGGGUCCGGGAUCUCAAGGAUGUGUAAUGGUAAAGUAAGGCUCAUCCCAGGUUUUGACAUGCGGCACUCAUUGACAGGUGCCUGGUGUCCCCAUCUCUAUUUCUCCCACAACCUGAGAGGGAGGUGGGGUUCUCCCAUGUCACAGAUGAAGGACCUGAGGCUCAGAGAAGUGCCCUGAGCAGGCCCAGGGCACUCUUGAAAUUCCUAAAAGAGGGAUGAGCUUCUAUUGCACCACGGGAGACACAGGGCUUGAGCCCACAGCUAGAGGGAAGGUGCCAUCCACACUGAAUGUCAGCCAGCCAGCCAGUAGAAAUUAUUAAUGAUAAUACGGAAACCACGACCAGCAUGACAUUUCUACUUCCAAUGGGAAGGCAGGACUUUAGGAAUGAGAAAGGAACUGGGGUGGAAGAGAGAGGCAGAAGGGGAAGGUGGGGGACAGUGAGGAAAAACACAGUGAUUGAGAAGGGACCCUGGCGACUUCUGGGAUGGUGAUCAACCUUGAACUGUGUAGUUGUUACAUGAAUGUACAGCUUAUUGUCAUUAAAACACAGACUUAUGUUUUAUACACUGUCAGGCACAGACACACACAAAAACCCUCACAAGUGAAGCAGAGUGCAGUGGGAAGUGGGAGUAGCGUGAGUGUCUGCGACUCCCGCACACAGGCUUGCAGCGCCCCGGCCUCCUCGUGUGGACCACGCAGUGUAGGCGGCCUCCUUCCUGCAGAGCCUCCCCUGGGCUCCAGGUCUUGCCUUCUAUCCUGCAGGCUCCAGAGGCUCCCUCAGGCCUGUUUGCGGAGAUUGUCUGGUGAAAAAUCCUCUAUCCUGUGCUGUUGACACCAGCCAUAGAGCGGGGCCUCUCAGGGAAUGGACACGACCUGCCUAUUUUGUCCUUAGAUGUUGGGAUCCGUCUCCCCUCAGGCCUCAUUCACACCCACAAUAGCCCAGGGCACAUGGGCUUUGGGGCCUGACAGGCUUCAUGAAAGUCUGGAACCCCAAGCCCUGAUGGUGUGACCUUGGGCAAGUCACAUGUCCUUGACCAACCUCGGUCCCCCAUUCAUAAAGGAGACCAAUGCCCGCCAAGCAGGGUAGGUGUGGGUUUUGGGGAAAACGUGUGUACUACCCUCCUCCCGAGCCCAUGUUAGACGGGUCUAGUAGUCGAGGCAGGGUAGGAGCAGGGGCUAAAGUGACACUGGCAGGGACUAAAUUGCCCUGGGUCACACGGUGGGCAAGUGGCUUCAUUUCUCUCUGCCUCCCUUUGCUGGUCUGUCAUCAGGGUACUAACUUUCCCUCCUCACAGGGUUCUGUGAAGGAGAGGUGAGAUGACUGGUCAGUCACCGAGAGCAGUGCCAGGCACAGGGCAAGGCUGAGUAGAGGCCCACUGUCAUCCCCCUGGCUGGAAUAAGUUCCAGUGAUAGUGACAUGGAUGUGUUUGGGGGGGCCACUAUUCUGCCUACCACAUACCCUCUUCCUUGGCAGGCCUUGAUGGUAACUGUCAUUGUCCCCAUACUGGGGCCACAGAGGUAGACAGAUGGACUUUAGCCUCCAAGAGAGUGAGUGCCCACCCUGUAGAGGAGAAUGGCAUGUCGCAGGCAGUUCACAGAGUGAUGCCUUUUAUAUCACUAUUGUGAUUGUUAGCUUUAGGUGUCUGCUUGACGGGGUUAAGAAAAACCCAAAUAGCUGGCAAACCAUUAUGUCUGGUGGUGUCUGUGAGGGUGUUUCCGGAAGAGGCUGGCCUUUGAAUCAGUGAACCGAGGGAGGAAGAUCGGCAUGGGUGGGCAUUGUCCGAUCCCUCGAGGGCACAGUUACAACCAGAAGGCGGAGGAAAGGGGAAUUUGCUGUCUUCUGGAGUUGGGACACCCUGUCUUCUGCCUUUGGACAUCAGAACUCCAAGUUUUCAAGCCUUCAGACUCCAUGACUUAUGCCUCUGGCUCUGCUGGUUCUCGGGCCUUUAGGCUCAGACUGAAUCACACCACCCACCUCCCUGGCUCUCCAGCUUGCAGACGGAGAUGGCGGGACUUCUCAGCUUCUACAGUCACGAGAGACCACGGAGCCUGGUGAGGGAGAUACACCUGCAAAGAGAACUUCAGUGCAGUAACAGCAACGGGCAUAGCCAGUGUGUUCACCAACUCAUGAGAGAUCACACUACCAACAUCGCCCGCUUGAUUUUCCCCAUCAACGAACAGCUUAUCCUGGAAACAAUCGUUUUAGUAGUCUGUUUUAGGUAGUCCCCAGAGCUGUCUUGCUGCAAAAGUCUAUGCGUCUCCUGCCGACAGAAGUGGCUUGAAAACAGCCAGAUAGACUGUGCACACCUGGGCAGAGGCAGUGCUGGCUUGUGAAGCUAAUGUCACCUAUUGUCUCUGCUCACCUUUUCCUGACAAUUGUAUUUUACAACUCCUCCAUUUCCUACCCUGGAAGAAAUCUCUCCACCAGAACUGCUGCCAUUUGAGGCACAUUCCCAUACAAACUGGACCUCUGACAACUCUCCAAAAUGAACACACCCUACCCAGGAUACGCACCAAAGGAGAUGAACUUGUUUUUAUCCAAAGGAAGUAUUUGUUUGUAAUCAUAAAUUUGUGGGCCUAAGCUACUGCAAAGGAAACCGGCUAGGUUUUAGCCCAAAUGAAGGUGGUGGGUAUCUUGGGUUUAGCCCCAACACCAGCUGCACCCAGGAAAGCUACAUGACAAAUUGUGACAAUUGUUCCCCCCCCCCCCACCGGAGAAUACCCAAGCGAUUCAUACUUUGUUGUGGGUUCACUGGCUUUUUAAUUUUAUUUUUUUUUAUUUUUUAACCAGCCAAUUGAAUAGUCAUGUUAUCUUAUCCAUCUCUUUCUCCCUUUCUGAUUAUACAUUUGGAUAGAGUUUUGACAACUUAUCACCGUUUUAGAAGUAGAGUAAAACUCUCACCCCUGGACAGAACAGUCCAUUGUCAGGAGUGAGAACAUCCCUCUGUAAAACAGCCAUUCUCUCCAGGAGAUGAACAGGAACUGUCUGAAGAAGCUAAAAGACUUGGAAUGAUUUUAGAUGUAUUCUCCCCCAACAGGGACAGGUCUCAGUUUGCAGGCUUUUCUGGCCAAGCAGCUCUGUGGGUUACUGAAGAAGCUCAACCCAAUGCCUGAGUUUUCCAUGCUCUCAUUCACGAAGCCAACCAAGUCACCAGUGAUGUCACGAAAAAUAUUAACACAAUCACUCAAGAAAUACCAGAACUCCAGAGGCUGUUUUCCAUCAUCAGCUAGCAUUAGCCCUCAUCCCGGCAGAUCUAGGAGAUGGAUGUACUUGUGCAGUUGUCAAUGACGACUGCUGUACAUAUAUCCCCCAACACCCUUCUGAUGUCUUUUUGAUGAAUCGCCACCUAGUCCUGAUCUCUGGGACCUCUGGGUUAUCAUUGAGUGGCUGAGAAUAUGACUUUUUCCCUUGAAUUCCCAACAGGGAUACAGUCCUGGGGAUGCACUGCUUUUCCAAGAAAUACUGAUAAUUUUUUUUUUUUUAUUCUCAUAGGAAUACUCCUCAUGAAGUCUAUCCAAUCACAUCUAGUUAAGACCAGCAGCAUUCUCCUGUCCAAAUGGAUGAUCCAUGCUACGACUAACAAACAGAAGACCAAAUAACAAACUGCUCCUCAGAUCUACUAUGGAGGCCUUCUUGGCUUGAUUCCUGAAUAUUAUAUAUCUUUAUAAUUUUGUUUUCUCUCCAAAAAAGAAUAUGCUGGCAAUGAAAGGAAUUCAUCUUGUCUAAGAGGAGAGACUG